GCCGCCGCCGCCGCCGCCGCCGCCGCCGCCGCCGCGUGUUUGGCUUGCGGUUUCUAAACCUAGAAAGAUCCCUGACUGGAGUUGUCCCUAGCCCUUGGGUUGUGCUGCUCCCCCGCCUUCUGACAGGCAGCUGCAGGUGGGCUGCUCGGACACAAACUGCAGCUUAGGUACACGGUCCUUGGAGUUUCCCUGCAGCCUUUUGGAAAGGGAAGGAGCACUUACUAAAUUCACUGGGAAGUGACAGAGAGCCUUUCCUUGGCCAGGUUGGACAGGUGCUUCUGCCCUCUUCUCAACUAGUUCUCAACCUUGGCCUCUAAAGACUUAGGCACUAAGAUGGUUUUGAACAUCACGUCGGCGUCGCUAGGAUGACUCCAGCUCCACUUAGAAUGCCUGCCUGACAAAGCUCAAGGUGCCGGGGGAAUCUAGCAUUUGUUCAGCCAACGCCAGAAGAGAGUCUCUGCUCCUCAAUGUCUCUAGGAGAAGAGGAGCAUAACUUCCAGAAACUCUGCUUAAUGUCCCCAGGUGGAGUGGGGAACACAGACCUGGUUCCUGUCUUCAAGCAACUCAGGAUCUAAUCUGCAGACAAGACAGGGAUUCAUCCAAAAGAUGCUGGGGUUGUUUUCCUGUCCUGGUGACUGUGACUCUGUUGUGAACAUAGAGGUGCAUGUGAUCGUCAAGCGAGUGUUUUAGAUAAAUCGCCAGAAGUGGAAUCGCUGGGUCCUACGGUAGUUCUGACUUUAAUUUUUCGAGGAAUCUCAUGCUGUUUUCCACUGUGGCUGCACCAGUAAUGUUCCUUUUUCUCCACAUCCUCUCCAACGUUUGUUGCUUGUGUGUGUGUGUGUGUGUGUGUCUGUUUAUAUAGUAACCAUUCUCUAAGGGAUGAGGUGAAAUAUUACUGUGGUUUGGGUUUGUAGUUCCAUUAGUGUGGUUGAACCUCUUUUCAUAUACCUGUUGGCCAUUUUCUGUUUUCUUUGGGAAAACGUCUAUUCAGAUCCUAGGCCCGUGGUUUUUUUUUU